rnacentral:lncRNA from 1 species
UUUUUUUGAAAACCUGACCCCAGAGUGUGCCAGAUCCGCCACAAAUACAGGAGUUCCACUGUUCACACGGACAGAGUCUCCCCUGUAUUUGCACGGCGUCGCACAAGUACAAGAGUUCAAUCAUACAACAACCACAACCAGAUGAACAUACAAAUAACCACAGAUAUACAUUCAUACACCAUUCACCACAGAUUCACAAAUAUACAUUCGCUAUUUAAAUAUAAAUCCACAGAAAAUCUUUUGAAAACUGUUCCCUACACAGGAACUUUUAUCUUUUCAAAACGCUACCACGAGGGGUAGAAAACUAUUUUUAUUUCAAGAAAACACAAAUUCCUUUAUUACAUUCCAAAACCAACUGAAAACUCAGAUAUCCAAAUAGUAAAAUAAAACUGAACCAUAAUAUGUCUAAGUUAGUUAUUUAUUU